rnacentral:rRNA from 1 species
GUGGGGAAUUUUGCACAAUGGGCGAAAGCCUGAUGCAGCGACGCCGCGUGAGGGAUGACGGCUUUCGGGUUGUAAACCUCUUUUAUCCACCACGAAGGCGGUGUAUUCGCACCGUUGACGGUAGUGGUUGAAUAAGCGCCGGCUAACUACGUGCCAGCAGCCGCGGUAAGACGUAGGGCGCGAGCGUUGUCCGGAUUUAUUGGGCGUAAAGGGCUCGUAGGCGGUUGAUUGCGUCCGCCGUGAAAGGCCUCGGCUUAACCGGGGUUUUGCGGUGGAUACGGGUCGACUUGAGGCAAUUAGGGGAGAUCGGAAUUCUACGUGUAGCGGUGAAAUGCGCAGAUAUGUGGAGGAACACCGGUGGCGAAGGCGGAUCUCUGGGAUUGUUCUGACGCUGAGGAGCGAAAGCGUGGGGAGCGAACAGG